UACGUAGGGUGCGAGCGUUGUCCGGAAUUAUUGGGCGUAAAGAGCUUGUAGGCGGUUUGUCGCGUCUGCUGUGAAAUCCCGAGGCUCAACCUCGGGUCUGCAGUCGAUACGAGCAAACUAGAGUGUUGCAGGGGAGACUGGAAUUCCUGGUGUAGCGGUGAAAUGCGCAGAUAUCAGGAGGAACACCGGUGGCGAAGGCGGGUCAC
rnacentral:rRNA from 1 species